rnacentral:lncRNA from 1 species
GAUGGAAUACAAUGUUGCCUAAUUUACUGUUCCGUUCCGUCACAAAUCGUCUGUCAUUCAAGUCAUUUUGUCAAAAACAAAUUUGUUUGGUUUUGUUUUCAAAAUUGUUGUGAAGUUCUAUUUUCUACUUGGUUCUAUUUUUUAGUCAUGAAGUAGUAUCGUGGGAUAUUUGAAGUUCUUGGGUACUGAAAAUUCAAGAAGUUUUAGAAGGAAAACUAGUUUUAAACUCUGGUCAUCUUAUUUUGGCUGGAAAAAUAGAGGAAAGUUCUGAGCAUACCAUCAAAAUAUAUGGUUUAUUCCUUCAGUAAGGUCCAAUCCCCACGAAAUUAAAGGAACCCUACCUUUCACAAAUGGCAUGAGCAUUAGCUAAAUGUUAUGUUGUUGUAAAGCAGAAAAUAGUGGAAAAUGUAAACAUGUCUCUACUCUUGUUAAAUGUAAAUAUAAGGGAAGAUGUGAAAUUAAUGGAACAUUCAGUACAUGAGUUGAAAAAAAUGUUAACAGAUUGGCAAAUGAAGACCAUUUUUAAUUGAUCUAAACAUUUAUAGAAACAAAGUAUAUGGUUAAUAUAAAAUAUUACCUGUCUGAAGUAACUUGGUGUACAAAUCAAUAGUAACCAUAAUUUUUAUUCCCAGGGCCAGUGAGAAACAAUGUGCAUUUCAUUUCUAAGUGUUCUAAGGAAAGAUCUCAUAAGAAUAAAUAGAUCUGUACAAUGAAGAUUAACCUAAUGUGUUUAACCAUCGAAAUUAUUGUAUUGUUAUAAAAAUAAUAAAUCUCCAUUUCAUAUUAUUUACACUUACAUACAUUAGCCUGAAAUUUCAUUGUGUCUAUAUUAGUGGCCAUAGUCACAAACCUACCCUAGUCUACGGAGGUACUGUCUUUCGCAGAUGUGGUAAUACCGGAUUUGAUACAUUAUUGCUAAAUAAAGUUUGUGAAUAGUCACUUUUCACAAAAUAGACAGUUUUAAUAGUUUUCACUGUACUUACUCACUAAUACUUAGAAUCUUUUUUACAUUCAGUGGUAAUAACAUAUUAUAUUUUGUUUUGGUAUUUAAAUUUACCUAAAUAUUUAUAGAAAUAUACUAUAGUAAAUUCAAGAUGCAGUAGAAAUAAACAAACCAAGACACGUUAAAUGCUAAUACUAUGAGCACUCCCGAAUCAUAAUUUACAAUGUAUAUACAUUGUAAAUCCAAAAUCAUGAUUUCCAAAGUUUAUACAUUGUAAAUUAUGAUUCGGGAGUGCUCCUAAUAGUAGCAUUUAACUUGUCUUGAUUUGUUUAUUUCUACUGCAUCUUAAUUUUAAAUUUAGUGUAGAUGUGGCCAUCAUAGGACUCUUACUUAUAGAUGCAAUAAAAUUAUUGGUUUAUUUUCAUUUUAAAUGUUAUACUUCCAGUAUUGUAUGUAGUACCCAGUAUUAAAGCAUAUAUUUUUAAAUAAAAAUAUAAAUAUCAUAUUUUUAUAAUGAACAACAUUAAAUUUACUUCUUGUGGGAGUAAAAAAAAGUUAUAGUAAAUAUUUUUAUCUCUUAGCUUUUGAUGAUAUUUGCCAUAUGUUUUUGUAAGACAUGUUUAACGAGUAGUCUAAGGGCAUAUUAUUAUACAUUGUUAUACAAAAUAGACAUAAAAUUUUGAAACUUUCAGCUUCACUUUUUCAUUGUUUCAAUAUUAAAUCCCAAAUUUAGACUCUCCACCAUUUUCUCAUAAAAAAGUAUGUUCAGUUUUUACCCCAGGUAGACUGAAACCACCAAAAAAUUGAUGUUACUUAAGUUUAUAAGAAGUAUUAAAAAAAUCCGUUUCAUCAGAUACACAAAAUAAAUGCAACUGAUUAUGUUCAGAUAGUGGUGUCCCUCUUAAUUUUUAUUCCUAAAAACUUUAACUAUUAAACCAAAGUUUUAGUUAAAAAAAAACAAAAUGUUUGCUUUCUGUGUGGAGUUACAAAAAUAAGUUGAAAUGCUAUUUAAUUUCGUAUUAUUUCCUGGUGAUCCUCUGCCAUACUAAUUUUACAUUGUUCUUACAUGCAAGCAUUUGUAAAUUAAUUUACCAUUAAAGGACGGCCCAAGGUAUAUUCAUCUUAAAUGGGUGGUUGUAGUUUUGUAUAUUUUAUUUUUAUUUUAGUUUUGUAAUAUUUUUAAGAACAAAUAAAAUAAUUAUUCUGAA